rnacentral:rRNA from 1 species
UAGUCCACACCGUAAACGAUGAAUGCCAGUCGUCGGGUAGUAUACUAUUCGGUGACACACCUAACGGAUUAAGCAUUCCGCCUGGGGAGUACGGUCGCAAGAUUAAGACUCAAAAGAAUUGACGGGGGCCCGCACAAGCGGUGGAGCAUGUGGUUUAAUUCGAAGCAACGCGCAGAACCUUACCAACCCUUGACAUCCUGUGCUACUACCAGAGAUGGUACGUUCCCUUCGGGGACGCAGUGACAGGUGCUGCAUGGCUGUCGUCAGCUCGUGUCGUGAGAUGCUCGGUUAAGUCCGGCAACGAGCGCAACCCACGUCUUUAGUUGCCAGCAGGUUAUGCUGGGCACUCUAGAGAAACUGCCCGUGAUAAGCGGGAGGAAGGUGUGGGAUGACGUCAAGUCCUCAUGGCCCUUACGGGGUUGGGG